UCAACUCGUAUUUUCCGGUGGUGGAGUUACAUUUGAAUCCCGAUCGUCGUCAAAGAAACAGUAAUAACCUUGGCUGUAAUCGUCUCGCUCUCGUCAUGCUCGCGACGCGUUCGUCUUUUCACAUUUCCGCGCUUCACUGAAACAAGGAAUGACUGACGCUCAUAUUAGCCAAUCUGCGGUCUUCAUUAAACGCAAGAACUUAAUGGUGAAAUUUGAUUGGUUAUGUAUCGUUGGAGAGAACACUGAACCUGGGACAGCGCCAGCACGCAGGAUCACAAUCAACUCGCGUCACAACAAAAUGGGCAGUCGCACAAAUGCUCCCAAAUAUAUUUUAAGGUCGCACAGAUAAAAUUUCGGUCGCAUAUGCCACCAAAAUGGUCGCAAUUUCGAGCCCUGGCUGGUAUGACCAGCAUGGGAUGCUGGUGCUAAUGCUGGUUUGGUGCUGGUUUAGCUGGUGCUAAUGCUGGUUUAGCUGGUGUUCACUAGCAAACCAGCACCAAAACACAACAUAUGCUGGUCUUGCUGGUAUGCUGGUUUUUUCAGCAGGGAACCCAAGAAAUGUUUUGGACAGUUCGCGCAAAGAAGGGUCUGUGGAUACGGAGGACACCGAUCCUACAGAUAAUCCUCAUGAUACAUCUCAAGAACCUCUUGAUUCUGCAGAGAUCUCAUUUGGCAACUCAAGCCCAGAGGUGGGUAGUAACGAAUUACAUUUACUCCGUUACAUUUACUUGAGUACAAUUUUGGGGUAACUAGUACUUUUACAGUAUUUUUAAGGAUGGGUACUUUUACUCUUACUCAAGUACAUUUCUAGUGAAAAAAUUGUACUUUUACUUCACUACAUUCGGUGGCGUUACUCCGCUACUGUCAAAUCAUAAUUAAUUAAUAUAUAUAUUUGUUUUAAGUUUAUAUGACUUGUUAUAUGAAAGUCUCGCGAGAUGUCACGUUGGCGAGGUGGCGUUGCCAGAGUUGCUACGCAUCACAUCCUUUAGGCGCGUAGAUGGAAAGAGAUGGCCGAAGCAGAGGAUGCCGUGUCCAAGUUAUCGGAGGCAGAUCAUCCCUGGCCUCAAAUUCGAUCGAUGUUUACACUUAAAGAUGCCAAAAAGAAUAGUUAUGUAAUGCGAUGUACGAUGUGUGCUCCAAAACAAACGGACAUAUCAGCUUACAGGAAUUCAAGCUCCAACUUGAAAAAACACGUAGCGAGGAUUCACCCAAACAAGCUGAAGGUUUAUGAAGAAUUAAUCAAGUCAAAAAAACGAGGAUCAGACGCAGUCACGGUGGAUGAACCUCAUUCAAAAAAGAAUCCAAAUAUCAUGAGUGCCUUUUUGUCUGUGAAGGAAACCAGCCAUUUUCUGUUGUGGAAUUACCGUCAUUUAAGAAAAUGAUAGAAACCUUGCAACCUCAGUGCACAGUCAUGACAAGAAAAACACUGCGUCUCAAAGUGCAGGAUACAUUUGAAAAUAUGAAGUGUGCACUUGUCCAAAAACUGAAUGAUGCUGAAUAUGUUGCUACAACUGCAGACUGCUGGUCAGCCAAGCAGCGCAGUUACUUGGGGGUAACCUGCCACUGGAUAGACAGUAGAUCUUUCGAAAGAUAUUCAGCAGCCUUGGCUUGCAGAAGGAUAACAGGAUCACACACAUUCGAUGUAAUUGCUGCCGCUUUAGAGGAAAUACAUGUAGAGUACAAAAUCAGAGGAAAGAUAACAAGGACGACUACAGAUAGUGGCUCAAACUUUCUGAAGGCCUUUCGAAUAUAUGGGGAGGAGAAAGAAGAUGAUGGACAGGAGGAGGGAGACUUCACACUUGAUGAUGAAUCUGAAGAAAGUGAAUCGGAGAUGGAGUACCAAGAGCUCUCUGGUAUUUUAAAUGGUGACUGUGGCCUGGAAUACCAACUUCCCAGACAUCAAAAAUGUGCAUGCCAUCUACUAAAUGUAUGCACAGCAUUAAAAAUAAAAAUGCUCAAUACAGCUGAAUUGGGAUUUUUGGCUGAGUACGCUACUGUAAUGAAGCCAGUUGCAAUGGCCCUCAACCUUCUCCAAGGGGAAUCAUCAGUUCAUAUGGGUUUUCUGCUGCCAACACUUCAUCAACUGCAGGAAAAGCUGAAGAGGCUGCUGUCAACAUGUAAAGCAUGUCAACCCCUCGUUAAGGCCCUACAGGAAGGAAUCCUCAAACGCUUUGGAGAGGUCAUGAAGGAGCCAGAGCUUAUUGCUGCAGCUAUACUGCUUCCAAAAUUCAAAACUGCCUGGACAACAGACCAGAGCCUCUUGACAACAGGACUAGACUACAUAAAAGAUCAUCUGGUGGAGAUCAGCAUGGAAAAUGAUGCCCUCUGCUACAGCAGUCCGUCAGAUGAAGAGGACUUCUUUGGAUCCAUGAACACAAGUCACUCAGAAACAGGAGAGCUGGAGAGGUACCUUUCAUGUCCAUCACCUGGAGGUAUGGAUCUGUUACACUCCUUUCCACAAGUCAAGAAGUUGUCUCUAAAAGUAAACACAGCCAUCCCAGCAUCUGCAGCCUGUGAAAGACUUUUUAGUCAUGCAGGACUCCUGCUCACAGCUAAAAGAUCUAGACUGCAUUGUAAAUUUCUUGAAAGCCAAUUACUGUUGAAGUUCAACAGUAAAAUUGUGUAAAACUGUUUGUUCAAAAAGAACAUGACCAAAUAAACAUUCACAUACUGAAACACAAAUACAGAUAAACAAGUUCAUAUAGAAACAUUAAAACAAAUACACACAUUCUCUUUGUUCACUGUUAGGUUGUUUAAAUGCAAAUGCUGACAAGUUUGUGUUGUGAAAAUAAAAACACAGUUAACUGUUAGAAAAACAUUUUGGUGUGUUUGAGAUUUUUUUUACGUAGUUUUACGUAGGCCUAUAUAAGCAGAACAAUGAGACUUUCAAGGAGAGGUUUGUGAAAGCCCUCCAAGUAGUCUGAAAUUCAGUGUUUUUACACUUCUCUUUCAGAUCGGAAGUAACUAGUAACUAACUACUUGAGUAGUUUUCUCAUCUUAUACUUUUUUACUCUUACUCAAGUAAAUUAUUAGAUUACUACUUUUACUUUUACUUGAGUAAAUAUUUCUUUAAGUACUUGUACUUUUACUUGAGUACAGAUUUUGGGUACUCUACCCACCUCUGCUCAAGCCCUUCAAAUGACAAUAGGCCUACCGUAGCAACCCAAGAAGCAAGUGGUGCACGUCAGCAGGAGGGUGGAACUGGUACAUCUAAAGCACGGAGAAAACGUAAAAACAAAUUGGAAUCACAAUGGAUCCUUUUGUGGCGAAGAUUGCCAAUACUCUCACCCAGACGGAUGACACCGAGCUUCAGCUGAAACUACAGGCUGC